ensembl:snRNA U6 U6 spliceosomal RNA
GUGGUCACUUCUGCAGUACGUACACUAAAAUUGGAGCAAUACAGAGAAGAUUAGCAUGCCUCCUGUGCAAGGAUGACAUGCAAAUUCAUGAAGUGUUCCACAUUUUU